rnacentral:rRNA from 1 species
GAGCUCAGUCGGUCGGCCUAAUUGGUCAGAACUGGCUGACUCUCCCUUGUUUCUGAAUCCGUUCCGGAGUUAAUUCCUCGGUUCUGGACUUUAGAUCGUUUACCUUGAAAAAAUUAGAGUGUUCAAAGCGGGCGUUUGCUUGAAUACAUUAGCAUGGAAUAAUGGAAUAGGACCCUGGUUCUAUUUUGUUGGUUUUGAGGACCAGAGUAAUGAUUAAUAGGGAUAGUUGGGGGCAUUCAUAUUUAAUUGUCAGAGGUGAAAUUCUUGGAUUUAUGAAAGAUGAACUUCUGCGAAAGCAUUUGCUAAGGAUGUUUUCAUUAAUCAAGAACGAAAGUUAGGGGAUCGAAGGCGAUCAGAUACCGUCGUAGUCUUAACCAUAAACUAUGCCGACUAGGGAUUGGAAGCGGUUUGUUCAUUGACCCUUUCAGCACCUUACGAGAAAUCAAAGUUUUUGGGUUCCGGGGGGAGUAUGGUCGCAAGGCUGAAACUUAAAGGAAUUGACGGAGGGGCACCACCAGGAGUGGAGCCUGCGGCUUAAUUUGACUCAACACGGGAAAACU